rnacentral:lncRNA from 1 species
GAAUGCAACAUUUUCAUUUGGUUUUUGUAUCCAUAGAAUUGUUUUAAAUGGAGCUAAAUGAAAUGAAAAUCCAAUUCUCAUUAAAAGAUACAAAACUAUUUUGUUCUCAACUAAUUUGGGCCGAAAAACAAUAACCUCAACCAUUGGGCUAUAUUGCAAAACAUAAACUUUUGAGGUCACUUUGUAAAAACACAAAAGUCCACUACUUCAUGUAAUUACAACUAGAACCCAAAAAUUUCAUCGAAUACAAAAACUUCAUUAAAGGAGCAAAACAAUUUGUCCUUUAGUGAACGUAAACUUUUGGGUCAAAGUACAAAUACACAAAAGUAUCAAAACUUUAUGUAAUUGCAUAAAAACCUCAAAAGUACCCUACUUUUAGGGUGGCCGGUUUUGGUAGUGUGAUGGAGUGGUUUUUUAAUAAAAAACAAAGUCAUAAAGUCAUGCAAGUUGAAAAUGAUGAGUGAUGGGUUGGUGUGAAAAAGUAGGUAUAGGUGUGUAAGAAAAAAAUACCAAUCAUGUACAAAAAAUUCAAACACUCUAUCAACAUUUCAAUCACCUUUUCAUCUAAAUGUCUUGUUGAUAGAAAAGUCACACCAACCAACACAAAACAAAGACUUUAUGUAAUCAACAAAAAACUUUGAAUAAAAAACACCAAACUUUUUGUUCUUGGUUAGAACAUCAAGAACAUUGAAGAACACACAUGAAAACUCAUAAGAGCUUCAUGAAUGUUUUCACUCAAUAAAAUUCAAAAUUUCACUACUUAAAAGGGGGUUAACAUCCUAGGGUACUUCAGGGUUCCAAAAGUCACCUUAAAACACUUUUAACAAGACAAACAACAACCCAAAAAUCCACCCUUUGGAUUUGGCCGAAUUUCCCUAAAAACAUGGCACCAAAUUUUAGCUCCAAAAUUCAUGCUCAUAUGAACUACAACUACAACAUUUGAGAUGGAAAAUUUUCUAACAAAAUUUACAUUCAAAGAAGCAAGAAUAAAGCUCGUAACAAUUACAACAUUCAAAUCAAAGACUAUGAACUACAAAACCCAAAAGGAUUCACCAACUACUAGACCUAGGCUCUUGAUACCACUUGAAGGAGAUUUUGUGAAAAACAUGUUCAUUUGAGCAACAUCUAUGGCAUGCAAUUAAUAUUUAAAGGCGGAAUCAUGCUUGUAUGCACUCAAAACAAACAUUACCCAUGAAAUUCAAAGCCUAGUAGAAAGGUGAACCAAGACUCAACUCAAGAACAAAGUGAGUUGAGAGAUUUUAUACCUUUGUUGAUUCCUUUUUGCAUAAGCAAAGGCUAAUCACCCAAGGAGAGGGCCUUCAUUCCUUGCUUCUUAGUUCCAUCGAUUUCUUGGAGGAGGAUGGUAGAAAGGAUUCUCCAAGUUCCUAAAAUUGAGAACCUCUAAUUUUUCCACACCAAGGAGUGACUUGAAGAAGAGAUGAGUGACCUUGGAGGAUGAGAGAUUGAUAGCUAAUCUCCUCCAAGGGGGCCGGCCUCCUAGAGAGAAAGGGAGAGACAUGUUCAGAGACAUGUUCUCUCCAAUUUUUCUCCAAAAGAAACCCUAAGGAUGAAAUGGCUAUAAAGUUGCCUUUAUACCACCUCAUAAUGAAGUGGCAAACUUGCAAUUAAAGGAAGUUCACUACCCUCCUCUAUUUGGCCGGCCUUAAGGGUUUAUUGGGCUUUCAAGCCCUUUGUUUAUUCAAGUUGUCAUACAACUUGAGUUAAUGGGCUUGACAUUUAAAUCCCAUUGGGCCUUACGGCCCAAAACUAACCCUAGGUCUAUAACAAACUUUUUGUUUCUUCAAUCUCUACCUUACACGGUGUACGAUCCAUUAGGUUCCUUUUAGCGAGGUAGUGGGCGAUUGUUACUCUUAACGUUCGAUUGUUAAUUGAAACUUACUUUCAAUUCUCCCUUUAGUGAUUAUACACAUUUAGGGCUUCCACAAACCAUGAGUGACACCUAGCAGUAUGUCAUGGUUACCCAAGCUAAUCAGAAGAGGUGGAAAACCUAUUCAGUUUAGGAUUACAAUGCAAUACGGUAUUUCUCUAAUACAAUACUCAUGACCACAUUGUUUGCUUUGAUAGUUUAUUCAUGUCUUCUAUCCAAUGUGAUUCUCUUACUUAUAUGAUUACCAUGAAUGUGAUUUGGAACGACUUCCUAAAUCUCAUUCAUACUCUGGCCAGAGAUUCUUAAUCAUAUCAUAGAGUAUUCUCCCUCAAAUGGUUUGAAGGUUAGAGAUCCCUUGUCG